rnacentral:tRNA from 1 species
UAUAGGAUGCCUGAAAAAAGGAUAAUUUUGAUAAAAUUAAUCAUGUGCAAGCCGUACUCCUAUAA